GUGCUUGCAUCCUCAGCACAUAUACUAAAAUUGGAAUGAUACAAAGAUUAGCAUGGCCCCUGAACAAGGAUCACAUGCAAAUUCAUGAAGCCUUCCCUAUUUUU
ensembl:snRNA U6 U6 spliceosomal RNA